rnacentral:rRNA from 1 species
GACGAACGCUGGCGGCGUGCUUAACACAUGCAAGUCGAACGGAAAGGCCCUGAGCUUGCGGGGCUCUCGAUUGGCGAAGGCGUGAGUAACACGUGAGUAACAUGUCCCUGACUUUGGGAUAACAUCAGGAAACUGGGGCUAAUACAGCAUAGGAGCUAUUGCACCAUGGUGUGGGUUGGAAAGUUUCGGCGGUUGGGGAUGGACUCGCGGCGUAUUAGCUUGUUGGUAAGGUAGCGGCUUACAAAGGCUUUGACGGGUAGCCGGCCUGAGAGGGUGAUCGGCCACAUGGGAACUGAGACACGGUCCAGACUCCUACGGGAGGCAGCAGUAGGGAAUCUUCCGCAAUGGGCGAAAGCCUGACGGAGCAACGCCGCGUGAGUGAUGAAGGUCUUCGGAUCGUAAAACUCUGUUAUUAGGGAAGAACAAAUGUGUAAGUAACUAUGCACGUCUUGACGGUACCUAAUCAGAAAGCCACGGCUAACUACGUG